AAACUUUAUUGCACAACUGCUGUUUUACAUUUUAUCCAGAUUACAGCGUUAGUCUGGAUACCCCUGUGAUUAGUUACUGAACUUCCAGGGAAUAAAAGUUCAGCAAAUAAAUAUAAAUGUUAAUUUUACAAUUUCCUACAUUAUUUCAUUCCUAAACAUAAUAUAUUUCUAAGUUGGUGUCACAUGUUUACGGAUCAAAAUCAUUCUACUCACCGGGUUUGACUUGUUUUUCUAGAAUCGAUUUUUUAUCAUUGACCUUUUGACCCAAUCAAAUUUUGAACAGGUGUAUGAAACCGUUAGGAAAGAACAUGGUUUCUGUUAACUUUCUAUUCAUUCGAACAUUUUGGAUUUACUUUAAUUAAGUUUGUUCACUUUCGCCCUGAACUCCUUGAAAUAACUGCACUCUAUGUAAUUAUGAAGACAAUUGAUCAUCAUUGGAAAUAUUUGUGAUGUCAUUUAACAAGACCGAAGCAAUACUUUCCUGCUGUUUGUUUACAUUCUUGCAACAACAAUAACAUUGUGAUAAAGCGACUAUCCGUACCUUGGACAAUAUAGAUUUACUUCUUACAUGCAUUACUGAAAGAUGAUACGUUACUAGAUUAUUAUGGUGCACCUUAAGUAGAUUAAUAUUCGAAUCAUAUGGAACAAGUAUAUGUGACCACUGUUUGGAGUCUCGUUCUUAACGUAGA